GUUUAACCUGCCCACUGAAAGUUUAAAUGGCCGCAGUAUUUUAACUGUGCAAAGGUAGCAUAAUCAUUAGUUUUUUAAUUGAAAGCUGGUAUGAAUGGUUGGAUGAAAUAUUAACUGUUUCAAUUUAAUUUUUUUUAGAAUUUUAUUUUUUAGUUAAAAAGCUAAAAUUUAAUUAAAAGACGAGAAGACCCUAUAAAUCUUUAUAAUUAUAAUUUUAUUAAUAUAUAGAAAAUUUAAUUAAUAAUAAAUUUAAUUAUUUUAUUGGGGUGAUAUUAAAAUUUAAUAAACUUUUAAUUUAUAAAAACAUUAAUUAAUGAUUAUUUGAUCCAUUAUUAUGAUUAAAAAAUUAAGUUACUUUAGGGAUAACAGCGUAAUUUUUUUAGAGAGUUCAUAUUGAUAAAAAAGAUUGCGACCUCGAUGUUGGAUUAAGAUAUAGAUUUAGGUGCAGUAGUUUAAAUCUU
rnacentral:rRNA from 1 species